GUGUCAGCCGCCGCGGUAAUACAGAGGUCCCAAGCGUUGUUCGGAUUUACUGGGCGUAAAGGGCGCGUAGGUGGCAAAAAAAGUCUGGUGUGAAAUCUCUGAGCUCAACUCAGAAACUGCAUUAGAAACUGUUUUGCUAGAGUGUUGGAGGGGAGAUUGGAAUUCUCGGUGUAGCAGUGAAAUGCGUAGAUAUCGAGAGGAACACCAGUGGCGAAGGCGAAUCUCUGGACAACUACUGACGCUGAUGCGCGAAAGCUAGGGGAUCAAACGGGAUUAGAAACCCUCGUAGUCC
rnacentral:rRNA from 1 species